CAUGCAAGUCGAGGGGAAACGAUAUUGGAAGCUUGCUUCCGAUAGGCGUCGACCGGCGCACGGGUGAGUAACGCGUAUCCAACCUGCCCACCACUUGGGGAUAACCUUGCGAAAGUAAGACUAAUACCCAAUGACGUCUCUAGAAGACAUCUGAAAGAGAUUAAAGAUUUAUCGGUGAUGGAUGGGGAUGCGUCUGAUUAGCUUGUUGGCGGGGUAACGGCCCACCAAGGCUACGAUCAGUAGGGGUUCUGAGAGGAAGGUCCCCCACAUUGGAACUGAGACACGGUCCAAACUCCUACGGGAGGCAGCAGUGAGGAAUAUUGGUCAAUGGACGAGAGUCUGAACCAGCCAAGUAGCGUGCAGGAUGACGGCCCUAUGGGUUGUAAACUGCUUUUAUAAGGGAAUAAAGUGAGUCUCGUGAGACUUUUUGCAUGCACCUUAUGAAUAAGGACCGGCUAAUUCCGUGCCAGCAGCCGCGGUAAUACGGAAGGUCCGGGCGUUAUCCGGAUUUAUUGGGUUUAAAGGGAGCGUAGGCCGGAGAUUAAGCGUGUUGUGAAAUGUAGACGCUCAACGUCUGCACUGCAGCGCGAACUGGUUUCCUUGAGUACGCACAAAGUGGGCGGAAUUCGUGGUGUAGCGGUGAAAUGCUUAGAUAUCACGAAGAACUCCGAUUGCGAAGGCAGCUCACUGGAGCGCAACUGACGCUGAAGCUCGAAAGUGCGGGUAUCGAACGGGAUUAGAUACCCUGGUAGUCCGCACGGUAAACGAUGGAUGCCCGCUGUUGGUCUGAAUAGGUCAGCGGCCAAGCGAAAGCAUUAAGCAUCCCACCUGGGGAGUACGCCGGCAACGGUGAAACUCAAAGGAAUUGACGGGGGCCCGCACAAGCGGAGGAACAU
rnacentral:rRNA from 1 species